GAUGAACGCUGGCGGCGUGCCUAAUACAUGCAAGUCGAGCGAACAGACGAGGAGCUUGCUCCUCUGACGUUAGCGGCGGACGGGUGAGUAACACGUGGAUAACCUACCUAUAAGACUGGGAUAACUUCGGGAAACCGGAGCUAAUACCGGAUAAUAUAUUGAACCGCAUGGUUCAAUAGUGAAAGACGGUUUUGCUGUCACUUAUAGAUGGAUCCGCGCCGCAUUAGCUAGUUGGUAAGGUAACGGCUUACCAAGGCAACGAUGCGUAGCCGACCUGAGAGGGUGAUCGGCCACACUGGAACUGAGACACGGUCCAGACUCCUACGGGAGGCAGCAGUAGGGAAUCUUCCGCAAUGGGCGAAAGCCUGACGGAGCAACGCCGCGUGAGUGAUGAAGGUCUUCGGAUCGUAAAACUCUGUUAUUAGGGAAGAACAAAUGUGUAAGUAACUAUGCACGUCUUGACGCACCUAAUCAGAAAGCCACGGCUAACUACGUG
rnacentral:rRNA from 1 species